UACGUAGGGGGCAAGCGUUGUCCGGAUUUAUUGGGCGUAAAGGGCGUGUAGGCGGCCAGAUAGGUCCGUUGUGAAAACUCGAGGCUCAACCUCGAGACGCCGAUGGAAACCAUCUGGCUAGAGUCCGGAAGAGGAGAGUGGAAUUCCUGGUGUAGCGGUGAAAUGCGCAGAUAUCAGGAAGAACACCCGUGGCGAAGGCGGCUCUCUAGUACGGUACUGACGCUGAGACGCGAAAGCGUGGGGAGCGAACAGG
rnacentral:rRNA from 1 species